UUCUUUGGAAAUGAGAUGUUCUCUAACUAAAAACACAUCUUUCAUAUCAAAGAUUGGUUGCAUUAUUAUUAUUGAUCAAUAUCUAUAUACACUCUGCCAACUGGUUGUUCAAAUCCUCUUUGCUGUUCAUGAGCAUAACAAUUAAAAAAAUUUAUGGCUAGCCUUCUCCAGAGUAAUUAUAAUUUUGUGGUAGUAACACAUUCCAAAA
rnacentral:lncRNA from 1 species